CCUACGGGGUGCAGCAGUGGGGAAUAUUGCACAAUGGGGGAAACACUGAUGCAGCGACGCCGUGUGAGUGAAGAAGUAAUUCGUUACGUACAGCUCUAUCAGCAGGGAAGAAACACUGACCUUACGGUCAGCAGACGGUACCUGAGUAAGAAGCCCCGGCUAAAUACGUGCCAGCAGCCGCGGUAAUACGUAGGGGGCAAGCGUUAACCGGAUGUACUGGGUGUAAAGGGAGCGUAGACGGUGCGCCAAGUCUGAAGUGAAAUGCCGCAGCUUAACGGCGGAACUGCAUUGGAAACUGGCGAACUAGAGUGCGGGAGGGGUAAGCGGAAGUCCUAGUGUAGCGGUGAAAUGCGUAGAUAUUAGGAGGAACACCGGUGGCGAAGGCGGCUUACUGGACCGGAACUGACGUUGAGGCUCGAAAGCGUGGGGAGCAAACAGGAUUAGAUACCCUGGUAGUC
rnacentral:rRNA from 1 species